UGAUAAUCUCCAAGCACAUAUCUGAUGAUUCUGUGUGGAAUUUAACUACUGA
rnacentral:snoRNA from 1 species